UUCCCUUUGACGACGACGAUGGUGAUCAUCAACACAAAUUUUGACGCGUUCAUAUCCUUUAAACCUACCUCUCCGUUUCUCCCGGUCUAAUUGCGUAACCGAAAUGAGUGGAGGAGCCAUGUCGAUCCAUUCCGCUAAAGAAGCCGUGUUUGGACUCGCCUGUGGAGGCUCCCCACCACCGCCCUCCUCGAUCGCGUCGCCCCGGCCGCACGAUGGGUGGGCCCCGUCGUCCUCCGGCGCCGCAAUCUCGCCAACGCGCUCGGCUCCCUGAUCUUGGAUCUGAGCGACCGGAGCGGGCGCGGAAGGCGAUUGGAUCGGAGACCGUGCUGGAUGAUUCAUCUCUUUCUUCCUAUGGAGGUCUCUCCAUCUUUGGCAGUGGGGAUGUUUCAUGGCUUCUGGUUUGCUGUUGUAGGGAACCAUGCAAUGGAUAAGUGACAUAGGAGCUGAUUGCAGGUGUUUAAAAUAUGCUGCCAUGGGGAGAAGAUAUGAGAUUCAAGUAGGCUAAUGGACUGAUGUGGCCAAUUCUGAGCGCCAUGCUUCGUUGGCAGACAUGCUUCUUGAUGCAUAUUAUAAGUUUUCUUCUUUUUUAAAAAAAUCAAGUAAAAGGAAGGAGGGACUUGGUCCAUUAUAUUUUAUUCAAAGAACACAGUACACAGGUACACAAAGAAUAGUCUGAAACAUGAAAACGAGAAGAGAAGGAUGACAAGAGGUAAGACAUCAACCAUGUCACCCAAAGAUGCUAUCAGAGUUUAGGCAUGCUGGUUUCUCUCUCUCUCUAUCUCUCUCUCUCUCUCUGCAGGCUGUCUUCGUAGGUGAGUCCAUGGAAGGAGAUGGUGGGAAGAUGGACUGAGAACUCAAAAGUGCAGUCACUCGUGAAGAAUGAAUGGGUAUCGGACUUGCAGGUAUCCUUGCUCGAGGACAUGGAACCAUUCAACCAAGGCAAAGUUUACUGCUUUGAAGUAGCACACUGGUAGUUGUGCAGGAAAAGGGCAGUGGUAAGUCAUAUGGUCUGUAGCUUGGAGAGGACCACAGGGA